GACGAACGCUGGCGGCGUGCUUAACACAUGCAAGUCGAACGGAAAGGCCCUGCUUUUGUGGGGUGCUCGAGUGGCGAACGGGUGAGCAACACGUGAGUAACCUGCCCUUGACUUUGGGAUAACUUCAGGAAACUGGGGCUAAUACCGGAUAGGAGCUCCUGCUGCAUGGUGGGGGUUGGAAAGUUUCGGCGGUUGGGGAUGGACUCGCGGCUUAUCAGCUUGUUGGUGGGGUAGUGGCUUACCAAGGCUUUGACGGGUAGCCGGCCUGAGAGGGUGACCGGCCACAUUGGGACUGAGAUACGGCCCAGACUCCUACGGGAGGCAGCAGUGGGGAAUAUUGCACAAUGGGCGGAAGCCUGAUGCGGCAACGCCGCGUGCGGGAUGACGGCCUUCGGGUUGUAAACCGCUUUCGCCUGUGACGAAGCGUGAGUGACGGUAAUGGGUAAAGAAGCACCGGCUAACUACGUGCCAGCAGCCGCGGUGAUACGUAGGGUGCGAGCGUUGUCCGGAUUUAUUGGGCGUAAAGGGCUCGUAGGUGGUUGAUCGCGUCGGAAGUGUAAUCUUGGGGCUUAACCCUGAGCGUGCUUUCGAUACGGGUUGACUUGAGGAAGGUAGGGGAGAAUGGAAUUCCUGGUGGAGCGGUGGAAUGCGCAGAUAUCAGGAGGAACACCAGUGGCGAAGGCGGUUCUCUGGGCCUUUCCUGACGCUGAGGAGCGAAAGCGUGGGGAGCGAACAGGCUUAGAUACCCUGGUAGUCCACGCUGUAAACGGUGGGUACUAGGUGUGGGGUCCAUUCCACGGGUUCCGUGCCGUAGCUAACGCUUUAAGUACCCCGCCUGGGGAGUACGGCCGCAAGGCUAAAACUCAAAGGAAUUGACGGGGCCCCGCACAAGCGGCGGAGCAUGCGGAUUAAUUCGAUGCAACGCGUAGAACCUUACCUGGGUUUGACAUGGAUCGGGAGCGCUCAGAGAUGGGUGUGCCUCUUUUGGGGUCGGUUCACAGGUGGUGCAUGGCUGUCGUCAGCUCGUGUCGUGAGAUGUUGGGUUAAGUCCCGCAACGAGCGCAACCCUUGUUCACUGUUGCCAGCACGUUAUGGUGGGGACUCAGUGGAGACCGCCGGGGUCAACUCGGAGGAAGGUGGGGACGACGUCAAGUCAUCAUGCCCCUUAUGUCCAGGGCUUCACGCAUGCUACAAUGGCUGGUACAGAGAGUGGCGAGCCUGUGAGGGUGAGCGAAUCUCGGAAAGCCGGUCUCAGUUCGGAUUGGGGUCUGCAACUCGACCUCAUGAAGACGGAGUCGCUAGUAAUCGCAGAUCAGCAACGCUGCGGUGAAUACGUUCCCGGG
rnacentral:rRNA from 1 species